rnacentral:rRNA from 1 species
GUUUACGGCCAUACCAGCCUGGGUACGCCCGAUCUCGUAUGAUCUCGGAAGCUAAGCAGGGUCGGGCCUGGUUAGUACUUGGAUGGGAGACCGCCUGGGAAUACCAGGUGCUGUAAGCU